GCAAAGUCUAAACUCGCUAAAAACACAAGAGGCUGGAAGACUUCUGGAAUCCUCAAAACUGAAUCAAGGGAGAUCAUGCUUUGUCGUUUCCUCUCUGCAGACAGCAGAUGCAAUUAGAGCACGGGAAUGCUGGGGUAGGUGAAGCUAGAAAGUGUGCUGCUUGAGCAGCUUGUAGCAGCCUAUGAUGACAGUAAGUCUGCUGCUGUGAUUUCUGUGAGGCAACAAUGAUCUGCUGGAAAGGGGCAUUAUCUUUGAAGUCAUACAGCUGCAUCUCCAGUGCAGAAGAGAAGGUACUUUAUUUCCCUGUAACUGACAUCACCCAAGUUUUUCUCCUUUCACCUUUGCUAAAGUCUCUGCAGCUGGAAAAGAUCUAUUGUCUCUAAAACAAAUGCACAAUCUCUGGCUUCUAACUUGUUUUGAAUUUUUUGCUAUUAUAUGACUACUGUGAUCAUCUAGUCUGACUUCCUGCCUGCCACGGUCUAUAAACAUCCUGUAAAUAACUUCAGGUCUGAUAGAUGUGAUUAAAUUGGAAUGUUGUUAGAAAA